UAGAGUAAGUUAGGUUUAAGGUUAGAAGCCUUUUCCUGUAUAAUACUUACUCUAUC
rnacentral:tRNA from 1 species